UCAAAGAGGUUUGGAACCUUUGUUGUCUCCGUUUUUCUAGAGAAUAGUGAUUUUAUAGUGGUUAGUCAACCAAUUUAGGGAGUAUUAUGAAAUUUUACUAAAUUAAUUGACGAAAAUUUUAAAAGACGCCCAUGUACCAUGAAAUAGAGUUUAAUAUACAUUAAUACAAAUGCAAAACGUGUUUAGAAAUUUUAAAACAACACUAAAGAUCAUAUGCUUCAGUAUAUUGAGCAUUUACCAAAAAUU
rnacentral:lncRNA from 1 species